rnacentral:rRNA from 1 species
UUGACCUCGAAUCAGGUAGGACUACCCGCUGAACUUAAGCAUAUCAAUAAGCGGAGGAAAAGAAACCAAC